AUACCAUUAUUACCUGAAGGUUCUAAGGAUGUGCCUGUGGGACAACCUAUUGCAGUAAGGUUGAGGAUGAACAAAAUAUCCAGAAGAUCCCUUCUACUUUUGAGGGUGGAUCAGAGGUUGAGGAAAAAACAGCCCAUCAGGAUGUCAGAAACACAGAAAAAGAAGAGGAACCAAGUUCUAUUACUAUCAACGCCUUAGACCUUCCUCCUCACAUUGUUAUUGGAAUGCCAGCACUCUCUCCAACAAUGAAUCAGGGUAAUAUUUUUAAGUGGAGGAAAAAAGAAGGGGAC